GAGAGCCGCUCUGCUCGAUGUCUGGAGAGAUGUUCAGCGUCUGUCUGUACCAGUAGUAGUUGACCGGUGUGCUGAGCACACACUCCUCCACAUAACCUGAGGACAUCAGCACGCACAUUACAGCUCUGCACACACUAAUGGCAGCGGCUCCUCGAACGAGUGGAAGAAGUACCACAGAACCCAGGCCAGAAUCAUGUUAUAAAACAAGCCCACCAGGAAGGAGAGGAACAUAGACGCCACACCUGCCAACACAUCACUGCUCUUCAUACUGGUCUGUGACAUGCAGAUGACCGUGUGACUCCAGCGGUCACUCACCCACUCCACCCAGCAGAGGAGAGAUGGAGUGCCAGACGCCGAUGCUGCCCUUCCUCAGGCUCUGACCGAUCGCCAGCUCCAGAUACAGCAGCGGCAAUCCCUCGAAGACCAGCGCGAUCAGAUACGGGAAUCUCCAAACGUUCCCGAGUCCCACGGCGAAUCCGAUGCAUGUCAGCAGAUACUGGACCUUGUUGUCCCAUUUGGGUCGUUCCUGAGCGCUGGAGGCUACGCUGGCCGUGUCCAUCCUGACGAUCCCAGUGUUGACAUGUAGAUGGAGAAGAGAAGCGGUCCCAGCACUGAGCCCUGAGGAACCCCAGUAGAGAGAUGAUGUGAAUUAGAAACCUCACCCCUCCUGAAGAACCUACUGAGAGCAUUUCCUCAAAGCUUGGAAGAUGGCGACUCCAGGGAUGCAAAGACAGGGAAUCCCGGCUAGUAUGAAGAUGACGGCGCUGAUCCAGUUAGGGUAGUUCACCUCUUUGAGCGUUGGGAAAUUAUCCUGCGUUAAGAGAGAGAUGAGACCGUGAUGUACCGAUUCAGGGUCCCAGACGUUGUAGGUCAGCUGUUUGCUGACUGUCGUGACGAAGUAGAAGAUCAGAAUGACCAGGAGGAUGGCGGGACUGAGGAACCGCCACGUCACCUGCCAGAAGAUGUUGGGCUUGUGUCCCACCAUGAACUUAAUGUCUUCGUUAAACCUGGAAGAUAGAGAACAGCAGCGUUAUCUUUCUUCUCAGUGCUUGAAAACAUCUGACACUCCUGUUGGACCAUAUUUCUCACCAUUUUGUCUUAUUGUGAAGAACUUUUUAAUAAACCUAAAUAACUUGUAUGUUAAAGGUUCUUCAUGGAACCAUCAAUGCCAACAUAGAACCUUUAUUUUAAACAUGUUGAAUAAUCUGCACUGGUUAAACAUGUUUUAUAAGUCUAGGAACAUGUAGUUUUGACGUUGACUCUUACCUGUCAAUCCCAUAGACGUAAACGACAGCGAUGAUCUCGCAGAAGGCGAUGACCAGCAGAGGAAUCGAGCCGGCGAAGCCGUCAAACAGAGCCAGCCAGUAGUUACCAGAGGACUGGACGAAUAUGAGCGCCGUCACGAAGGACACUACACACUGAACAAUUCUUUGGGCCAUUUUUUGGGGAGGAUGUUGAGGUCCUGAAGCGGCACCACCACACCCUCAAUGUUCCCGAACAUGGUGGACAGUCCCAGACAGAAGAGCAUGAUGAAGAACAGCACUGACCAGAGAGGAGCGAUGGGCAUCUUGGUGAUGGCCUCAGUGAACACGAUGAAGGCCAGACCGGUUCCCUCAACGCCCUGCAACAAAAAUGAAUCAAACGCGUUCAGCAGCGCCAGGAUGUUACUGCGAAGAAAGUGCGGUUCUUUAACCCUCAUAAGAUAGUACAAAUGAUAUGGUUGGUGAAGGACGCACCUCUCGAGACAUGCAUCAUAGUUCUCCGUGGCUCUGAAGCCGAUGAUGGAGUAAAUGACGGUUGCGGAGUAAACCGAGAUCACUUACUGCACAGAGUUGUAGCUGGAGAAGGAGAUGAGGCCUCCAAACGCCAGAGAGAAGGAGAACAGCACCUGAGCUCCAGCGUCCAACCAAGUCGUUGGAUUAAUCAACUCAUUCACCUGGAAACAGGUCAGAAGAACCAGGCUGAAUGAUAAAUGUUGAAGGGCCAACCUCCUCCGUGGCUCUGGCAGAGGUAGGGGAACCUCCAGACGUUGCCCAGCCCAACACAGAAGCCCACACAGGUCAGCAUGUACUGGGCUUUGUUGUCCCACUGCGGCCGCUCUCCAGCCUCCUCCACCUCCAGCUUCUCCAGCUCGGCGUGAGAGGGGAUCCGCUCAUCCAGACCCGGGUUGGGGAGCUUCAGCUUCAUUCCUGCUGUGAUAAUGGAAGCAGCGGUUCCUGAUGAGUUUGUACAGAGCCACGGCCGGGAUGACCAGCGCUGGAACGCCCGACAGGAUGAAGAUGAUGGCGUAAAUCCAGUCCGGGAACAUGUGACUGAAUGCGGUGUGGUGCGGACGGCACGUACAGACUCUGGGUCCCAGGCGAUGUAGGUCAGAUCUUUGCUCACAGUCGUGACGAAGUAGAACAGGAAGAUGACCAGCACUAUGAGAGGACUGAUCACCCUCCAGGUGGCCUGCCAGAAGAAGUUGGGCUUGUGACCGAUCAUGAACUUGAUGUCAUCGUUGAACCUGUGUACAGAGAACAGAGAAAAACAACAGCGUACAGAUUUGAAACAUCAUGAGACUGUCAAACAUAAAGAGCUGAUGAGACUCACUGCACAGAGUUGUAGCUGGAGAAUGAGAUCAGUCCUCCAAACGCCAGAGAGAAGGAGUAAAACACCUGCGCUCCCGCGUCCAGCCACGUCGACGGAUUCAGCAGCUCGUCCAGCUGAACGAGACACGAUCAGUACACAGCUGGACAGAGGAGGUGGAGGAAAGGAACAUGAGGGCUUGGAAGGCAGAUGAAAAUUGAUACCAUAUUUCCUGAAAAUAUAGCCAAGAAGUAGUAAAUGAUGAAUAGAAAAGAGCCCAAGACCGAACCGUGAGGAACACCAGAGUCCUGCAGGUUUAGAGCGAUAUGGAAGAGCAGUAAAUGAUGACAGAAGGCUGAAGUGUGUGAUGGACACGAGUGCUGUACCUUCCCGGUGGUCUCGAUGCCUCUCAGACAGCAGACCCAGAGCAGCGUCCAGGCGCAGAACAGACACAAGACGAUCCACCACUGCAGACCGCCGGAGUCACCGAUCACUGGCGUCGUGUUGAGCGUCUCUCUGUACCAGAAAUAAUCCACUGGAGAGCUGCGCGCGCAUUCAGACACGAACCCUGUUCACGGACACACGCAAGUCAUUAGCACAACUGGAUCUGCGUGACUAAAGAGCCACACGAGUGACGUCACAGUGGACUGACAUGAAUCCUGACGCUCCGUACCUGUCCGGUUCUCAUUGAUGGGACACUGACUCCAGGGUAAAGGGUCCUGAAAGGAAUUGAAGAAGUACCACAUGACCCAGGCGAUGAUGGUGUUGUAGUACAUCCCCACCAUGAAGGACACCAGCAUGGAGGCGAUACCUGAGGAUAGGGGUUGAUGGAUCUCCAGACGCCGACGCUGCCCUUCCUCAGUCUCUGUCCGAUGGCAAACUCCAGGUGCAGGAGCGGAAUUCCCUCCAGAACCAGAAGGAUCAGGAACGGGAUCAUAAACGCUCCUGGAAAAGCCAGCUGUUUUGGAAACAAAGUGAUGUCAGCAAACAUCUGCAUCUUUAUCUGAGCGUUUGACUCUUAUCAGCCCAACGCUUCAAAAGUCCACAUGACGAUAACCUGAGGUGAAGGUGAAAUGAAUAUGUCAUGAUGAAUAUGUUUUUUUGGAAGAUGAGAUUGGUUGUGCUUUCAUAGCUCAUAUCUUUCUCCUUAAGAUCCUCGGGAGAAAUGAAGCUGGACGAAUGAGUCAAUCGCUGUCCUACAGUAAGAGUAUAGAGAUAUAACAUGAACAUGGAUAAGCUCAGAUCAUUUGAUGAGAAAUGUUUGAGUUCAUAUGGACAUCUAUAUAACUUUUGGUUUUAGACUUUGGUUUUUAAGUAAAUCUGAGCUCAGUUUGAGACAUUAUUGAGAUCUCUUCCCUGAAAUUAUGUUGAUCGAUUGUUGAGCUGCUUAACCCAUGAUGAUUUUUCUUGAAGUUUUGUGAAGUUUUCACUUGAACAUGCAUGCAAAGUUUCGACACAGAUGUGUUGUGUAAUGUGCGUACGAUUUUAAUGUUUGCGGGUCAAUUUGACCCGUGCGUUUCAUGGUUAAAGUCAGCUGCGCAGACCAAAAAUAAAAAUGUAUUUUGUUUA